AACGAACGCUGGCGGCAGGCUUAACACAUGCAAGUCGAGCGCCCCGCAAGGGGAGCGGCAGACGGGUGAGUAACGCGUGGGAAUCUACCCUUUUCUACGGAAUAACGCAUGGAAACGUGUGCUAAUACCGUAUGAGCCCUUCGGGGGGAAAGAUUUUAUCGGGGAAAAGGAUGAGCCCGCGUUGGAUUAGCUAGUUGGUG
rnacentral:rRNA from 1 species